AACGAACGCUGGCGGCAUGCCUAACACAUGCAAGUCGAACGAGACCUUCGGGUCUGGUGGCGCACGGGUGCGUAACGCGUGGGAACCUGCCCUUAGGUUCGGAAUAACUCCUCGAAAGGGGUGCUAAUACCGGAUAAUGUCCGCGGACCAAACAUUUAUCGCCUUUGGAUGGGCACGCGUUGGAUUAGCUAGUUGGUAGGGUAAAAGCCUACCAAGGCGACGAUCCAUAGCUGGUCUGAGAGGAUGAUCAGCCACACUGGGACUGGGACACGGUCCAGACUCCUGCGGGAGGCAGCAAUGGGGAAUAUUGGACAAUCGGCGAAAGCCUGAUCGAGCUAUGCCGCGUGAGUGAUGAAGGCCUUAAGGUUGUAAAGCUCUUUUACCCGGGAUGAUAAUGACAGUACCGGGAGAAUAAGCUCCGGCUAACUCCGUG
rnacentral:rRNA from 1 species